UUCCUUCAAUUUUUAAUGUUAUAUAAUUUUUUAAUUGUGCCAUGGUUCAAAUAUUCACAAUAUUUGCUCAUGUAUCGAAAAUACAUGCACAGAGAAUGUAAAUCGUAAUGCGAUGCAACGAUUUGUGUAGUGUAAAGGAUAUAGGGAGAAGAUGGACGGAGGUAAAGUACUCGAUAAUUUCAUCUCUUCAUAAUGCAGGCGUGCAUCUCGUUGCACGCGAAUGACCGCUCUGGCGCCGACGAAUUCCACGUGGAUUUCUAUGUAACGUCAAACCACUGUUUGUAUACGACCGCCGUCUGAUCGAUCUAAUUCGCAAAGGGUAGAUCAUUGAGAUUAGAUUAGAUUUUAUGGUGCGCCAGUCUCGUCGCACGGACCAUAUGCAGGUUAUACACUUUGUAAGGGUAGUUGGCGGCACCCCGAUGACUUGCAAGUGGAAUUAAAAAUGAAGAACGUAGGUUCCGUAUGCGAGUUAUAAUAAAUUUUUAAAUUAUGCAGUGUAUUUCAAAGUCGAUAGGUAUAAUUUAUUCGAGUUAGAAAGAAGAGACAGAUAAAGCUUCUGAGGAAACAGCAUCAGAAAUGUCAUCGACAGAGUCGGAUAGUUUAUUCGUGGCUAGUGUGACAGAUUUCGACCACGCCCUGCCGAUAUGGUACCCCCUUGUCCAGCUACCCUUGGAUUCACUGACGACGUAUCGAAAAUUUGCUGGCUUUGAUCUGCACGCGGCGACUUUUCUGGCACCGCAUGUUGUCAUCGUUUUUGUCGGCAUCAAUCUUUAAUGAAGGACGCGUAGUUGUUGGUGGCCCAGUUUUCGGACAGCCAGCAAAUUGACUUUUGCCAGUUCAAUGAAAACGGCAGCGGCCGAGGCCUUUGAAAGCGCGCCGCGUAACUUCUGAGACGUCGAUGCUCUUCGAAUGAGCUCUCGAAACUUUACAUUUCUUCGUCGUGCUCUCUUUUUCGCCGCUCCGUUCGAUCUCGCGCGGAAGCUCAUCGAUCUCCCUCGGCGCGGUCGAGAGGAAAUCCUCUCUUUCCCUCGAUGUCUCGCUGGAGCCGCCUCAAAGAGGGCGCAAGCACGAAGAACUCUCGCGGAAAAUCGAAGAGCGAGGGACGAGCUCUCUCUCUCUCUCUCUGGAUCUGACGCGCAUAUUUCUUUCCGCGUCGCGAGGAAAGAAAAUGUGCGCUGCGAGA